rnacentral:snRNA from 1 species
CGCUGUGAGGGCGAUCUGGCUGCGACAUCUGUCACCCCAUUGAUCGCCAGGGUUGAUUCGGCUGAUCUGGCUGGCUAGGCAGGUGUCCCCUUCCUCCCUCACCGCUCCAUGUGUGUCCCUCCCGAAGCUGCGCGCUCGGUCGAAGAGGACGGCCUUCCCCUAAUAGAGACGGACCGGUCUUCGGUCGAGGGUAUACGAGCAGCUGCGCUCCCCUGCUAGAACCUCCAAACAAGCUCUCAAUUUCUAAUUUUUUGAGAAGCGUCCAUAUUGUUUUCCAGAAUGGCUGGACAAGUUGUCGGCAUUCCCA